UCGAGAAUUUUUCACAAUGAGCGAAAGCUUGAUGGAGCGACGCCGCGUGGGGGAUGAAUGGCUUCGGCCCGUAAACCCCUGUCAUUCGGGAUCAAUGCCUCUCGGUUAACACCUGAGUGGUUGAUAGUACCGAAAGAGGAAGGGACGGCUAACUCUGUGCCAGCAGCCGCGGUAAUACAGAGGUCCCAAGCGUUGUUCGGAUUUACUGGGCGUAAAGGGCGCGUAGGUGGCAAUAAAAGUCUGGUGUGAAAUCUCUGAGCUCAACUCAGAAACUGCACUAGAAACUGCAUUGCUAGAGUGUUGAAGGGGAGAUUGGAAUUCUCGGUGUAGCAGUGAAAUGCGUAGAUAUCGAGAGGAACACCAGUGGCGAAGGCGAAUCUCUGGGCAACUACUGACACUGAUGCGCGAAAGCUAGGGGAUCAAA
rnacentral:rRNA from 1 species